AUGGAGGAACAACAAAAAGGGAGGAAAAGGAAACAAAAAGGGAGGAAAAGGAAACAAAAAGGGAGGAAAAGGAAACAAAAAGGGAGGAAAAGGAAACAAAAAGGGAGGAAAAGGAAACAAAAAGGGAGGAAAAGAGGGAAAAAAAAAAAGAGGAAAAUUCUUCCAGACUUCCAAAAUAACACGAAACUCAGAAGCGAAAGAAAAACCCCUCUGCUUUCUUCAGUGUUCACACAGAGGUCCGGGGAAACGAACGCCGUGGAGAAGAGCACACCGACACGAUCCCGGGACCCGCUGCCUGGUUGCCCCGGGGCCGGCGGGAGGCUCCGGCGGGGCAGCGCCCAGCCCCGCUCCCUGCCCCUCCACACCCGGUGCCGCUGCGCUGAGCCGCGAGGAGUGCACCGCCCAGAGCCCUUCUCUCCUCGUCGCCCCGUGCUUACCGCAGCCCCCAGAGACUCGUCCCACCCCCGCGGGGCUGCGGCCGCUCCUCCUGCCCGGUGCCCACUGCAGCCCCAGCAGUGGAGAAGGAGGGAGGGACUUGAAAGGCUCCGUGAUGACACGCAGCACAUAUAGCUCGCUCUUAUGCACACCCCGCCGGGCAGCUCGGCCGCUGACGUGACCGCACCCGGCAGCUCGGAGCUGCCUUCGGGCCGUGAGAGCAGCACCUGCCUCUUGCGCAGCCCCGCUCGCUGCAGGAUAGAGCUGGGUUUCCUCCCGCUGCUCCUCGAGUUGCUUUUCUGAAGGAAGAAGGAAUGGGUCGCUGGAGUUUGCCUUCACAACUUCACAGCUGCGAGAGUGGCCUAACUGUAUCUGAUAAAGCACAAACAACACACAGACCUUGGAAGAAUAUGUUUUCAACCCAGUAAAAGCAAAACUCUGCUUCAGAAAAACGUCUCCUGCAGAGAAAACUACAUUUAUGUGGUGUGUGAGAGUGAUUUCUCUCCAAGGUUUUCACAGUUUGGCACGUGGCUGCACGUUUCCAUCGCCCUUUAUGGUGUGCUGCCAACAAAUGGUUAGCUCAACCGUGGGCAACCUAUGGAGAUCUCAAAAAAAGUUGGUUUUUUUUUUUUUGCUGUGCAACGAACACAGCAAUAGCUGAAAGACCUCUGUGAUCACGAAGAGCUUUCAAGAAACAGGUAACACUGAGGCAAAACUCUAUGUGAUUUGAGCUCUACUACCAGUGAACCCCAGAAAAACCACCUGCGGGCAGGUGAACAGGGGUCAGGUGCCCAAAGCUCUGCACCGCCACAAGUGAGGCUCUCUGAAAGCUGGGCACAGAUAGCAGGGUG
rnacentral:lncRNA from 1 species